rnacentral:rRNA from 1 species
CCCAGACUCCUACGGGAGGCAGCAGUGGGGAAUAUUGCACAAUGGGGGAAACCCUGAUGCAGCGACGCCGCGUGAAGGAUGAAGUAUUUCGGUAUGUAAACUUCUCUCAGCAGGGAAGAAAAUGACGGUACCUGACUAAGAAGCCCCGGCUAACUACGUGCCAGCAGCCGCGGUAAUACGUAGGGGGCAAGCGUUAUCCGGAUUUACUGGGUGUAAAGGGAGCGUAGACGGCAUGGCAAGUCUGAUGUGAAAACCCGGGGCUCAACCCCGGGACUGCACUUGAAACUGGGUGUCUUGAGGGCAGGAGAGGAAAGUGGAAUUCCUAGUGUAGCGGUGAAAUGCGUAGAUAUUAGGAGGAACACCAGUGGCGAAGGCGACUUUCUGGACGGUACCUGACGCUGAGGCGCGAAAGCGUGGGUAGCGAACGGGAUUAGAUACCCUAGUACAG